rnacentral:rRNA from 1 species
AUGGCGGAGGGAGCGAAGCCUCUCCUCCCAGGCCUUCCAGAUGAGAUCGCCGCCUGGGAGAUCCUCGUCCGCCUCGACCCCAAAUCCCUCCUCCGCUGCCGCGUCACAUCCACCCAACUUCCUCCGGGCCCACCACGCCCGCCAGCCCGCCCUCCCUCUCCUGUACGGCGAGAGCAGAGUCCGCGGCGAAGACGAGUUCGCCAGCAGCAGCGACGAAGACGGCGACGGCUGCCCCGACCGUGCCGACUGCUUAGAUAUCAUCCACUUCGACCACCGCGCCAGCGACCAGCUCCAGCCCGUCGCGCGAUUUGCCCACGUCUGCAUCCGUCCGGAAGUGCUUGGCAUGUUCAGCUUUAA